ensembl:misc_RNA Metazoa_SRP Metazoan signal recognition particle RNA
GCCAGGUGUGGUGGCGCAUGCCUGUAAUCCCAGCUACUCAGGAGGCUGAGGCAGGAGAAUCGCUUGAACCCAGGAGGCUGAGGUUGCAGUGAGCCGAGAUCGCGCCAUUGCACUCCAGCCUGGGCAACAAGAGCGAAACUCUGUCUCAA